rnacentral:rRNA from 1 species
AGUGAACGCUGGCGGUAGGCCUAACACAUGCAAGUCGAACGGCAGCACAGUAAGAGCUUGCUCUUACGGGUGGCGAGUGGCGGACGGGUGAGGAAUACAUCGGAAUCUACUUUUUCGUGGGGGAUAACGUAGGGAAACUUACGCUAAUACCGCAUACGACCUACGGGUGAAAGCAGGGGAUCUUCGGACCUUGCGCGAUUGAAUGAGCCGAUGUCGGAUUAGCUAGUUGGCGGGGUAAAGGCCCACCAAGGCGACGAUCCGUAGCUGGUCUGAGAGGAUGAUCAGCCACACUGGAACUGAGACACGGUCCAGACUACUACGGGAGGCAGCAGUGGGGAAUAUUGGACAAUGGGCGCAAGCCUGAUCCAGCCAUACCGCGUGGGUGAAGAAGGCCUUCGGGUUGUAAAGACCUUUUGUUGGGAAAGAAAAGCAGCAGGUUAAGACCCCGCUGUUCUGACGGUACCCAAAGAAUAAGCACCGGCUAACUUCGUG